CGGUGUUUAACUGGCGUGAUGUGGGACGUCCUACCGGUGGGCUUAGCCUCGCGAGGGGCGGCCCAACUAAUAUCCCGUCGCGGUGCUCUUUACUGAGUGUCGAGUCGGGCCGGUACGUUUACUUUGAACAAAUUAGAGUGCUUAAAGCAGGCUAUCCUCGCCUGAAUACUGCGUGCAUGGAAUAAUGGAAUAGGACCUCGGUUCUAUUUUGUUGGUUUUCGGAACCCCGAGGUAAUGAUUAAUAGGGACAGAUGGGGGCAUUCGUAUUGCGACGUUAGAGGUGAAAUUCUUGGAUCGUCGCAAGACGGACAGAAGCGAAAGCAUUUGCCAAAAAUGUUUUCAUUAAUCAAGAACGAAAGUUAGAGGUUCGAAGGCGAUCAGAUACCGCCCUAGUUCUAACCAUAAACGAUGCCAGCUAGCGAUCCGCCGAAGUUCCUCCGAUGACUCGGCGGGCAGCUUCCGGGAAACCAAAGCUUUUGGGUUCCGGGGGAAGUAUGGUUGCAAAGCUGAAACUUAAAGGAAUUGACGGAAGGGCACCACCAGGAGUGGAGCCUGCGGCUUAAUUUGACUCAACACGGGAAACCUCACCAGGCCCAGACACCGGAAGGAUUGACAGAUUGAUAGCUCUUUCUUGAUUCGGUGGGUGGUGGUGCAUGGGCCGUUCUUAGUUGGUGGAGCGAUUUGUCUGGUUAAUUCCGAUAACGAACGAAACUCUAGCCUGCUAAAUAGGCGUACCUUAUGGUAUCGCGAAGGCCCCCGGCUUCGGCCGGUGGGUUUUUACUACCAACGUACAAACAAAUCUUCUUAGAGGGACAGGCGG
rnacentral:rRNA from 1 species